UCUUUCAUGGUAAUCGGAGCUACUUCUUCCAAAAGCACAUCUACCAGCAAACCUAGGACCUGUAGUCUCGGAGAAACUCACGAGGGAUAAUAAAUUUCCUUCUCUAGAAAGCACAGGUCCUUCCAGCGAUUCGAGGUGCUCAAUAUCUAGGCAUCCUGACUAGAAAAACUCUAGAGCCACCAAAGGAGAUUGAAGUAAACCAAGAAGGAAAGAAGAUCCUAGUUUCCAACCCGGAGUAUGAUGCAUGGCUGGCAAAGGACCGGCAAUUAUUGAGCUAUUUGCUCAACUCGGUGUCAAAAGAUGUCCUGGCGCAAGUCGCCACUCUUGAAUCAUCUGCCGAGGUGUGGGAGACAUUUGAGAAGAUGUUCUCAGCGCACUCCAAGGCGUGGGUUACCAACCUGCAUAUGCAACUCUCCAACCUCAAGAAGGGAUCUCCGUCCAUGGCGGCCUAUUUCUCCAAGAUGACAACAAUUAAAGAUGAACUAGCUGCAGUCAGACAAGGAAACGAGGUAGACCCUCCAUCGAGGUAUAUGCACUGGUGGAUUGUACCCCCCUCACGUACCGGUCGUCAUGGACAUCUACUGCACGACAAGCCUAUAGACUAUAGUGCAAAAAAGCUGACUUCAUCCAAGUGGGCAUAUUAGGUCAGGGCAUCCUGCUUUUCCCAUAGUUCAUCGAGUCAUUAGAGAUAAUGAUCUUCCUUUCAUUAGUGAUAAAGACAGUCAGUCCGUAUGUGGUUCUUGUCAAAUGGCUAAGAGCCAUCAGUUGUCUUAUCCUAUAUCUAAUAAAUUGGGUCUUUGACA